rnacentral:lncRNA from 1 species
GAGCUCAAAAGCCUGUCCAAGUAGAAUGAAAUCUUCUGUUUGGAAAAUGAUAAUGAGAUGCGUCAUCUUUACUCUCUUAUUGAUUGUUACAGAGCUCCAUGAAUAGAUGAACUUGCAGACAGCUUGCCUCUACAGUUAGAAAAAACAAGCUGGAAUAAUUUCACCUAGUUCUUGGACUCUCUGAAGUUACUUCACGAGAAUGACCUUGUGUUUGGUUGUCAAGACAGCGACCUGGAUUCCGUAAGUGUCCAGUCUUAUAUGGAUUAGCUCUUAUGACCACACUCAUAAGGACUAGAAUAAAAUCUAAAAAAGAAGAAUUGGUGAAUUGGUUGAUGCGCGCACACCCACAGAGUCAUUUUGUCAUUAUUCAGUGUAUUAAUAUAUCCAGAUUUUGAUAGAAUUCAAGUAAGGGUCAUCACAGGUUGUUCAAAAUGGUUAAAGAC